rnacentral:rRNA from 1 species
AUUGAACGCUGGCGGCAGGCCUAACACAUGCAAGUCGAGCGAGCGGCGGACGGGUGAGUAAUGUCUGGGAAACUGCCUGAUGGAGGGGGAUAACUACUGGAAACGGUAGCUAAUACCGCAUACCAUCAGAUGUGCCCAGAUGGGAUUAGCUAGUAGGUGGGGUAACGGCUCACCUAGGCGACGAUCCCUAGCGGGUCUGAGAGUAUGACCAGCAACACUGGAACUGAGGCGCGGUCCAGAGUCCGACGGGAGGCAGCAGUGGGGAAUAUUGCACAUUGGGCGCAAGCCUGAUGCAGCCGUGCCGCGUGUGUGAAGAGGGCCUUCGGGUUGUAAAGCACUUGCAGUGGGGAGGCGUUACCCGCGGAAGAAGCACCGGCUAACGCCGUGCCAGCAGCCGCGGUAAUUC